rnacentral:rRNA from 1 species
UACAGAGGGGGCAAGCGUUGUUCGGAAUUACUGGGCGUAAAGGGCGCGUAGGCGGCCUGCUAAGUCGAACGUGAAAUCCCUGGGCUCAACCCAGGAACUGCGUCCGAUACUGGUUGGCUUGAAUCCGGGAGAGGGAUGUGGAAUUCCAGGUGUAGCGGUGAAAUGCGUAGAUAUCUGGAGGAACACCGGUGGCGAAGGCGACAUCCUGGACCGGUAUUGACGCUGAGGCGCGAAAGCGUGGGGGAGCGAACAGG